GUGCCAGCCGCCGCGGUAAUACCAGCACCCCGAGUUGUCGGGACGAUUAUUGGGCCUAAAGCAUCCGUAGCCUGUUCUACAAGUCCUCCGUUAAAUCCACCUGCUCAACAGAUGGGCUGCGGGGGAUACUAUAGGGCUAGGAGGCGGGAGAGGCAAACGGUACUCAGUGGGUAGGGGUAAAAUCCAUUGAUCUACUGAAGACCACCAGUGGCGAAGGCGGUUUGCCAGAACGCGCUCGACGGUGAGGGAUGAAAGCUGGGGGAGCAAACCGGAUUAGAUACCCGAGUAGUCC
rnacentral:rRNA from 1 species